UACGGGGGGGGCAAGCGUUGUUCGGAAUUACUGGGCGUAAAGGGCUCGUAGGCGGCCAACUACGUCAUACGUGAAAUCCCUCGGCUUAACCGGGGAACUGCGUCUGAUACUGGAUGGCUUGAGUUCGGGAGAGGGAUGCGGAAUUCCAGGUGUAGCGGUGAAAUGCGUAGAUAUCUGGAGGAACACCGGUGGCGAAGGCGGCAUCCUGGACAGAUACUGACGCUGAGGAGCGAAAGCCAGGGGAGCAAACGGG
rnacentral:rRNA from 1 species